GAUGAACGCUGGCGGCGUGCCUAAUACAUGCAAGUCGAGCGAACAGACGAGGAGCUUGCUCCUCUGACGUUAGCGGCGGACGGGUGAGUAACACGUGGAUAACCUACCUAUAAGACUGGGAUAACUUCGGGAAACCGGAGCUAAUACCGGAUAAUAUAUUGAACCGCAUGGUUCAAUAGUGAAAGACGGUUUUGCUGUCUCCUCUAGAUGGAUCCGCGCCGCAUUAGCUAGUUGGUAAGGUAACGGCUUACCAAGGCAACGAUGCGUAGCCGACAUGAGAGGGUGAGCGGCCACACUGGAACUGAGACACGGUCCAGACUCCUACGGGAGGCAGCAGGAGGGAAUCUUGCGCAAUGGGCGAAAGCCUGACGGAGCAACGCCGCGUGAGUGAUGAAGAUCUUCGGGUCGUAAAACUCUGUUAUUAGGGAAGAACAAAUGUGUAAGUAACUAGGAACGUCUUGACGGUACCUAAUCAGAGAGGCACGGCUAACUACGUG
rnacentral:rRNA from 1 species